AUUGAACGCUGGCGGCAUGCUUUACACAUGCAAGUCGAACGGCAGCGCGGGCUUCGGCCUGGCGGCGAGUGGCGAACGGGUGAGUAAUACAUCGGAAAGUGCCCAGUAGUGGGGGAUAGCUCGGCGAAAGCCGGAUUAAUACCGCAUACGACCUGAGGGGGAAAGCGGGGGAUCUUCGGACCUCGCGCUAUUGGAGCGGCCGAUGGCAGAUUAGCUAGUUGGUGGGGUAAAGGCCUGCCAAGGCGACGAUCUGUAGCUGGUCUGAGAGGACGACCAGCCACACUGGGACUGAGACACGGCCCAGACUCCUACGGGAGGCAGCAGUGGGGAAUUUUGGACAAUGGGCGAAAGCCUGAUCCAGCAAUGCCGCGUGUGUGAUGAAGGCCUUCGGGUUGUAAAGCACUUUUGGCGGGAACGAAAAUGACUGUGCCAAUACCACGGUUCGAUGACGGUACCCGCAGAAUAAGCACCGGCUAACUACGUG
rnacentral:rRNA from 1 species